UGACAAUAACAUGCAAACUAAAACAUUGUAUCACUAGCAAGCAGCUUGCUGUAUGUUUUAAUAACGUACUGAUUUGCAACCCCCAAAAGUCUGGUUAUACAAUUAUUCUGCAAGCAUGCUGCAAAACUAGCUACAAGCUAGCCAAAUAGCUUGCACAGUGCACAUAUUUUGCUGACAGCUAACGUUAGUUAGCUUAAUGUACAAAGUCAAGCAUGGAAGACCGUCUAAACGUACCUUUCAGUGUCCAUUGGAAACCUGAAGAAUAGCGAUGCUGACCGAUUACUUUUUAUGGUGCAAUUUGGAGCUGCGCAAAAGUUUGCCAUGGUUUGCUUAUGCUAGUAUAAUGCUUUUCAAAAGUAAUUUACUUCAAUAUUAAUUUAUCCAGAAAUUAGUAAAGAAUGGACUCGCACGCAACAGUGCUUUAUGUGGCCUGGAGGAAUCAACGCGACGCGCGAUUAAAUCACGACCUUCCCACAAUGCUUUGCUAACAUAACUCAGUACGCAUGUUUGUCACUGUCCUGUUCAUAUCACCUCAGGGUUCCAAUACUGAUAUUAGCUUUCCUUGCGCCCUUCGGAUCAACACAUGCCUGCACAAUUAUCCACACAAGACAUUUCAAAGGAGUUUUGACAUGGUUCAUGUUUGGCCCUCCGAAACUCGUUAGCCAGGUAUAGGACAGUAUUUUCUAACUUACCAUAUCCCUAUUUGACUAAAAUUACAGUCCAACAGAAGGGAAGUUGGAUCCAGUGAGUAAUCAAUGAAUACAUUUCUUUGUUAAGGCCUCCUCAUCCCACUCAUCCAAAGACUCAGAUCCUCUCCAGGUCUUUGGGAUGGUCAGGCAGGUCCUCCAGGAGAGCAGGGUUCCUCCUGUAGAUGUAAGCGCUGGCAUCGUCGUCCAGAUUCACCAGCUCUGCCAGAGAGGACACACAGGUGUCGUGGUCUGUCAGCAUCCCAGGCAGGUGGGAUGACUUGCGCUGGAUACGACAGGAACGACGGACUGGUGUCAGGAACUUCAGAUCCUUGAUGGUGUUUUUUCGCUUGGAACCACUUGCACAUGCUUCAGUGUUGAUUGUUCUCUUAACACUAGAAGGGGAAAGAUAGAUAGAAUUGUGUGGUUAGUUGACAGCCAUGUUCAGUUUAAUAUACAUUUCAAUAUAGAGAUGUGAAGUAGUGAUGUUCUCCAUGACCUCCAGUAUUUCCAAUAAUUGUAUGGAAGUGAUUUUAAAAUAGGCAUUUAAGAUAAGAAAUAUCACCUUUGAAGGUAUGGAGUUGUCUUCAGAUUGUAUUUCACUAUGGAGGCUCCCUCUGGUGUAGUCUCCAUCAAGCAUUCGUCAUCAUAAUCACUAUCAACUUCCUCAAUAUAACCCUUCCUUACUUUCUGCUCUGAAGCUCCCUCUCCUACUUCCCUUUUCACUUCCUCAGACCUGUCAAAAUUAUUCUCAGCAAACUCAUUCCUCUCUUCAAAUCCACAAUUUGUUUCAACCUCCACAAUUUUCCCUUCAGAUUCCUUUUUCUCAUGUGGCUCUAAAAGGAAAAAAAGAACACACCAAUGAAUAACACAUUAAUAAAGUUUACAUGAUAAAAUGUUACUCUUACAUGAUUUGAAUCAGGCAGAUGAUGCCAAGUGAGCAAGUAAAUUUGACUGUUUGCUGUGAAUGUAAAUGCACUGACCACAAAACUUACCAUCCACACUUGCUGAGGGCGUCUCCAAUGCCUCCAAAGCAUCACAAAGGUUGACCACAACCUGUGAUAAGACACAAGACAGUGGUGGUUAGGUUAUAUUUAAGAAUUUUGAUGAAUAAAAUUACAGUACCAAAAAAAUAAAUGACUAAACAAAGAA